rnacentral:rRNA from 1 species
UUGUAUCGCCAUACCACCCUGAACACACCCAAUCCCAUUCAGUUUUGGAAGUUAAGCAAGGUCAGGCCUGGAAAACAGGCAGUGGGUUUUAU